UGCACACACAGAAGUUUAACUUUUCAGACUAGGUAUACAAACAUACUAUGAAGUGGUAUGUACAAACUUACAAAUUUUAGUUUAUUAUUGCAACAGUUUGUAUCCAAACAAGACAGUUCCAUUGACUGUGGUGCUUAUCUGUGCAAAUUAUGCAUAUCUAAUAUGUUAUUGUUAAAAUUAAUUGACUUUUAGUUUGCCUAUACAUCAUACUGUGUUGUGAUGGAGUGUUCUGAUAUGUUGUCCAAAUAUAAAUUCUAUUGUAAUGGUUAUGCUCUGUCAUAACAUUGUUUAUUAGAUAACUUCAAAAUUUUUGAGGCAAUGGCUUAUGACUCUCAUGCUUCACAGUUUCAGGUACAAUUUGCUAUUGAAAUGGAAUAUCAUUUUUAUAUAGGUGGAAGACAAUAACUAUUAGCGUUGCAACCAGAGUUGCUUAGUGCUGAACAACUCUUUACAAUGAUUUACAAGCAUUGAAAAGGGAUCUGCAAAAAAAGUGUGGCAUUCCUAGCCCAGGAUAACUACUUUUUAGGCUAGAUUCUAAAGCUCAAUAUGACUAUUUUAAAGGGUCUCCUUAUCUUUAAAGAGCAGUGAUUUCAAGGAUAUUGAACUAUUAUUAUUUUAAUUGUGUAAUUAAAUGAAAUCAGUAUCUCAGUAUAGUGUUGCAUGCAAUAGCACUGAUAAAAAUUAAUCAUAAAAUUUCACUAUGUUCAUUAUUAGACUUACACCAAA
rnacentral:lncRNA from 1 species